rnacentral:lncRNA from 1 species
GGGGAGGCUUUUGCUUUUUUUUUUUAAUUUAAUUAUUUAUUUUAUUAAAUUUUAUGUGGUGUCACAUCAUAACAACACCGUUACUUUUUUCGUUAAUAAAUAAGUAAUUUGACUCGAAAAUGGAACAAUGAAGACAAAAUUGUUCCAAAAAAAAAUUAAAGAUCGAAUUGUCUAAAAAAUAAACGUUGAGGGCAAUUUUUGCCAUUAUGCCAAUUGUC